rnacentral:rRNA from 1 species
UACGUAGGACCCAAGCGUUGUCCGGAAUUACUGGGUAUAAAGGGUGCGCAGGCGGUCGAGUGCGUCAGAGGUGAAAUAUCCAUGCUUAACGUGGAGGGUGCCUUUGAUACGGCUUGACUUGAGUCCGAGAGAGGGUGAUGGAAUUCCUGGUGUAGCGGUGAAAUGCGUAGAUAUCAGGAGGAACACCGGUGGCGAAGGCGGUCACCUGGCUCGGCACUGACGCUCAGGCACGAAAGCGCGGGGAUCAAACAGGAUUAGAUACCCUGGUAGUCCGCGCCCUAAACGAUGUAUGCUUGGUGUUGGACCUUUCGGGGUUCAGUGCCGUAGGAAAUCUGGUAAGCAUACCACCUGGGGAGUACGAUCGCAAGGUUGAA